rnacentral:rRNA from 1 species
UACGUAGGCAGCGAGCGUUGUUCGGAGUUACUGGGCGUAAAGAGUGCGUAGGCGGUUUUCUAAGUUUGGUGUGAAAUCUCCCGGCUCAACUGGGAGGGUGCGCCGAAGACUGGAAGGCUUGAGUAUGGGAGAGGUAAGCGGAAUUCCGGGUGUAGCGGUGGAAUGCGUAGAGAUCCGGAAGAACACCAGUGGCGAAGGCGGCCCGCUGGGCAGUGGCUGACGCUGAAGCGCGACAGCGUGGGGAGCAAACAGG